CCUACGGGAGGCAGCAGUGAGGAAUAUUGGUCAAUGGACGAGAGUCUGAACCAGCCAAGUAGCGUGAAGGAUGACUGCCCUAUGGGUUGUAAACUUCUUUUAUAUGGGAAUAAAAUGUUCCACGUGUGGGAUUUUGUAUGUACCAUAUGAAUAAGGAUCGGCUAACUCCGUGCCAGCAGCCGCGGUAAUACGGAGGAUCCGAGCGUUAUCCGGAUUUAUUGGGUUUAAAGGGAGCGUAGGUGGAUUGUUAAGUCAGUUGUGAAAGUUUGCGGCUCAACCGUAAAAUUGCAGUUGAAACCGGCAGUCUUGAGUACAGUAGAGGUGGGCGGAAUUCGUGGUGUAGCGGUGAAAUGCUUAGAUAUCACGAAGAACUCCGAUUGCGAAGGCAGUUCACUGGACUGCAACUGACACUGAGGCUCGAAAGUGUGGGUAUCAAACAGGAUUAGAUACCCCUGUAGUC
rnacentral:rRNA from 1 species